rnacentral:rRNA from 1 species
GAUGAACGCUGGCGGCGUGCCUAACACAUGCAAGUCGAGCGAUUCUCUUCGGAGAAGAGCGGCGGACGGGUGAGUAACGCGUGGGUAACCUGCCCUGUACACACGGAUAACAUACCGAAAGGUAUGCUAAUACGGGAUAACAUAAGAAAUUCGCAUGUUUUUCUUAUCAAAGCUCCGGCGGUACAGGAUGGACCCCCGUCUGAUUAGCUAGUUGGUGAGGUAAUGGCUCAGCAAGGCGACGAUCAGUAGGCGACCUGAGAGGGUGAUCGGCCACAUUGGAACUGAGACACGGUCCAAACGCCUACGGGAGGCAGCAGUGGGGAAUAUUGCACAAUGGGCGAAAGCCGGAUGCAGCAACGCCGCGUGAGCGAUGAAGGCCUUCGGGUCGUAAAGCUCUGUCCUCAAGGAAGAUAAUGACGGUACUUGAGGAGGAAGCCCCGGCUAACUACGUGCCAGCCGCCGCAGUAAAAC